rnacentral:rRNA from 1 species
UGCCUAAUACAUGCAAGUCGAGCGGACUGAUGGGAGSUUGCUCCCAUCAAUCAGCGGCGGACGGGUGAGUAACACGUGGGUAACCUGCCUGUAAGACUGGGAUAACUCCGGGAAACCGGGGCUAAUACCGGAUAACUCAUUUCCUCGCAUGAGGAAAUGUUGAAAGGUGGCUUUUCGCUAUCACUUACAGAUGGACCCGCGGCGCAUUAGCUAGUUGGUGAGGUAACGGCUCACCAAGGCGACGAUGCCUAGCCGACCUGAGAGGGUGAUCGGCCACACUGGGACUGAGACACGGCCCAGACUCCUACGGGAGGCAGCAGUAGGGAAUCUUCCGCAAUGGACGAAAGUCUGACGGAGCAACGCCGCGUGAGUGAUGAAGGUUUUCGGAUCGUAAAACUCUGUUGUUAGGGAAGAACAAGUACCGUUCGAAUAGGGCGGUACCUUGACAGUACCUAACCAGAAAGCCACGGCUAAGUACGUGCCAGCAGCCGCGGUAAUACGUAAGUGGCAAGCGUUGUCCGGAAUUAUUGGGCGUAAAGCGCGCGCAGGUGGUUUCUUAAGUCUGAUGUGAAAGCCCACGGCUCAACCGUGGAGGGGUNAUUGGGAAAAUGGGGGGACUUGAGUGC